rnacentral:rRNA from 1 species
CCUACGGGUGGCUGCAGUGAGGAAUAUUGGUCAAUGGCCGGAAGGCUGAACCAGCCAAGUCGCGUGAGGGACGACUGCCCUAUGGGUUGUAAACCUCUGUUAUAAGGGAAGAAGAAAUGCUACGUGUAGCAUGAUGCCAGUACCUUAUGAAUAAGCAUCGGCUAACUCCGUGCCAGCAGCCGCGGUAAUACGGAGGAGGCGAGCGUUAUCCGGAUUUAUUGGGUUUAAAGGGUGCGUAGGCGGUUUUUUAAGUUAGUGGUUAAACGUCGGGGCUUCUCCUUGAUUUUCCAUUCAGACUUGAAGUCUCGAGUUCAGACGAGGUAGGCGGAAUUAGUUCCGUAGCGUU